UAGCGGCGAGCGAAGCGGGAAGAGCUCAAAUUUAUAAUCUGGCACCUUCGGUGUCCGAGUUGUAAAAGUGUUUUCCGCGUUGGACCGCACACAAGUCUGUUGGAAUACAGCGGCAUAGUGGUGAAACCCCCGUAUAUGGUGCGGACGCCCAGCGCUUUGUGAUACACUUUCAAUGAGUCGAGUUGUUUGGGAAUGCAGCUCAAAUUGGGUGGUAAAUUCCAUCUAAAGCUAAAUAUUGGCGAGAGACCGAUAGCGAACAAGUACCGUGAGGGAAAGAUGAAAAGCACUUUGGAAAGAGAGUUAACAGUACGUGAAAUUGUUGGAAGGGAAACGCUUGAAGUCAGACUUGCUUGCCGGAGCUUGCUUCGGUUUGCAGGCCAGCAUCAGUUUUCCGGGGUGGAUAAUGACGGUUUGAAGGUAGCAGUCUCGGCUGUGUUAUAGCUUUCCGUUGGAUACGCCCUGGGGGACUGAGGAACGCAGCGUGCUUUUUGCGAAAGACUCGUCUUUUUCACGCUUAGGAUGCUGGUGGAAUGGCUUUAAACGGUCCGUCUUAA
rnacentral:rRNA from 1 species